rnacentral:rRNA from 1 species
AACGAACGCUGGCGGCAUGCCUAACACAUGCAAGUCGAACGAGACCUUCGGGUCUAGUGGCGCACGGGUGCGUAACGCGUGGGAACCUGCCUUUAGGUUCGGAAUAACUCAGAGAAAUUUGAGCUAAUACCGGAUAAUGUCUUCGGACCAAAGAUUUAUCGCCUUUAGAUGGGCCCGCGUUGGAUUAGCUAGUUGGUGGGGUAAAGGCCUACCAAGGCGACGAUCCAUAGCUGGUCUGAGAGGAUGAUCAGCCACACUGGGACUGAGACACGGCCCAGACUCCUACGGGAGGCAGCAGUGGGGAAUAUUGGACAAUGGGCGAAAGCUGAUCCAGCGAAUAGCCGCGUGAGUGAUGAAGGCCUUAGGGUUGUAAAGACUCUUUUACCCGAGAUGAUAAUGACAG